CCUCCUUUGUUGACUGGCCAACUCCUCCACUCCUUCCAUGCUCUCCAUUAUUCAUUUUUUUUAUUUUGACUAUUGAAUUUUUGAUAAUUCUCUCUACUAGCAAUUUUUUUUUAUCACUUCCCUCAAUCUGUCGUCCCUUCCCCUACUCUUCCAAUAUUUCUAUUUUCUUCCUUUUUGCAACUGUGAGCUUCUGUCGCUCCUUUGAUUUUUUUUCUUUUCUUCUUUGUAUUUUCCUUUUAACCAUUUUUUAAUUUAAUCUCACAACCAAUCCUUGAUUUCUUCUUCCGUUGCCUUUCUUCUAUUCUCUUCUUGUAAUGUUAUUUUCAUUCGGAUAUAAACCUUUUGUUAGCAUCAUCCCCUCUGUGUAAAUUUCAUUUUUUUACGGGUGUCAUAUCCCAAUUUUUAACAACUUUGUUUGUGUGUAUGGUAAGGAGUCUGAUUUAAGUUUCGUAAUUUUCUGUGGGGAAUUUUUAGUACAUUUUUUUCUUUUGUUCUAAUUGUUUAGUUUUCUUGGCAUUGUUUUGAUUGUGUGAAAUACAUGUUAGGUAAAGAGCGUGAAAUACCUAACCCUUUGGUGAAUUAGGUGUUGAUUGUUUGCUACUUUUCGGGGUAAGUAAUCGAUGUCUUAGUUUAGGGGAUGGUGUUGGUUUAGUUUCAAGGGCUAAAUGUUUUUAUUUUUGUAGUGCAUGUGAUUUUAAUGGUUUCGUUAUGGUAAUCGUGUGUAGGUUCCAAUUUCAUUGCAAUUGAGACGACGUGUUAAAAGAAAAGUGUGUGUUCUAACCUCAUAUGUUUGUGUGUGUUUCUGACUAAAAAAAUGGAGAAAAAGCGUGAAAAUCUAAAAAACAUAUGAAAAAUUGAAUCUGUCAAUUGAUGUCAUACGGGAAUGCGGGCUCAUUUUAACUGAUUGUGGUUCUUGCUUAGGCCAAGUGUUUGAAUCUAAAAUCUGAAAUUAGAAUGUAACCACUCGAAACCUUGUUAUUUGUGAAACAUGGUGUACAUACAUUAGUUUUAAUAUGUUCCCAUUAGUAAAUUCUGAGUAAACUAUGUUAUGUUUUGCUCCAUAUGUGGUAUGUAUAUAAGACAUGAAUCUAUUUUAAUAUGAAUUCUUGUGUUAUGAUAAGAUUAUAUGCAUGAACAUGUGAUAUGAUUUUUCCGCAUGCAUUGGGGUGGAAUAUGGAUAUCUGAUGGAGGAAGUGCGUUUCUGGCAGUUUUAUUACAAUUUUAGCGGUAUAUCGCAACAUAUAGUCUAGCUAUUUUACUGUAACUCUGGCUAUAUUUCUGUAAUAUAUGUGUAUUCUGGCAGGACAGUUACAAACUUUCUGAGUGGCAUAUGACCACAUUCUGGUCUGAUGGUUGGAUGGGUUCUUGUAGCCAUAUUUGGUGUGAUUGGUUGGAUGGAAUAGUGUGUACUAGAUGGGGGAGAUCCUCAAACUUAGGAUUUGGCGGCACUCAAGGGCUCGGUUUUGUUCACUAUUUUUAAUUCUUUUAGAAACUUUUGCUUGGAUUUUAUGGACUGGAUUGUCGAACUAUUUUAUUUUUCGGACAUUAACUUUGGUUUGAAAUUGGUUAAAUGUUUUUAGUUA